GACGAACGCUGGCGGCGUGCUUAACACAUGCAAGUCGAACGGUAAGGCCCUUCGGGGUACACGAGUGGCGAACGGGUGAGUAACACGUGGGUGAUCUGCCCUGCACUUCGGGAUAAGCCUGGGAAACUGGGUCUAAUACCGGAUAGGACUCCGGACUGCAUGGUCUGGGGUGGAAAGCUUUUGCGGUGUGGGAUGGGCCCGCGGCCUAUCAGCUUGUUGGUGGGGUGACGGCCUACCAAGGCGACGACGGGUAGCCGGCCUGAGAGGGUGGCCGGCCACACUGGGACUGAGAUACGGCCCAGACUCCUACGGGAGGCAGCAGUGGGGAAUAUUGCACAAUGGGCGCAAGCCUGAUGCAGCGACGCCGCGUGAGGGAUGACGGCCUUCGGGUUGUAAACCUCUUUCAGCACCGACGAAGCGCAAGUGACGGUAGGUGCAGAAGAAGGACCGGCCAACUACGUGCCAGCAGCCGCGGUAA
rnacentral:rRNA from 1 species